rnacentral:rRNA from 1 species
CUAGGUUUGGCUGCUAUUGAGCGUGCAAAGAAGAGACGGGCAUCCAGAGUGAACUGGCUACGUGUAGGAGAUGCCAACACGCGCUUUUUUCAUGCUAAAAUGCAGUCUCGCCGCAGAAAGAACUUCAUUCAUGCAAUCCAUAGCAAUGACAUAGUUGUGGUGGAUCACGACGAGAAAGAAAAGAUCAUCUUCGAUUAUUUCUCUGAAGCUAUGGGGCGUAGCAAGCAGCGAAGCUGAACCCUGAAUUGGGACAGUCUGAACAUCCCGGUUGUUGCCUCACCAGAGCUGGACGGCCCGUUCACCAUGGCCGAGGUCUUGGCAGCGAUCCUUGCGCCCCCCACGGAAAAGGCCCCGGGCCCAGACGACUUCAGUGGGCAAUUCUAUCACUCAUGUUGGCCGAUCAUCAAGGAGGAGGUAAUGGCUGUUUUCAACAAGUUCCAUCAGAUAGUCGGGAGUAAUUUCGCCGAGCUGAAUUCAACGCUCAUUGCCCUGCUGCUGAAGAAAAUUGGCGCACCCGAGAUCAGCCAUUAUAGGCCCAUCAGUUUGAUACAUUCCAUGGCAAAGUUAAUCUCCAAAGUGCUCGCCCUCCGGUUAUCCUCUGCUCUGAACGGAGUUAUCUCGCUGACGCAAACGGCAUUUCAGAAAGUAAAAUGCAUCCACGAUAGUUUUCAGUAUGUGCAAGGUUGCGUCAUAAUGCUCCAUAGAGAAAAAAGCAGGCCUUGCUCUUCAAGAUUCAUUUCGCUCGCAUGUUUGAUUCUGUAUCCUGGACAUACCAGAUCGAGCUGCUGUAGUGCAUGUGUUUUUCGUAACGCUGGAGAAACUGGGUGGCCUUGUUACUAUCCACUGCAACUUCUUCCUGUCUGCUGA